rnacentral:rRNA from 1 species
ACCUUUUGUAUAAUGGGUCAGCGACUUAUAUUCUGUAGCAAGGUUAACCGAAUAGGGGAGCCGAAGGGAAACCGAGUCUUAACUGGGCGUUAAGUUGCAGGGUAUAGACCCGAAACCCGGUGAUCUAGCCAUGGGCAGGUUGAAGGUUGGGUAACACUAACUGGAGGACCGAACCGACUAAUGUUGAAAAAUUAGCGGAUGACUUGUGGCUGGGGGUGAAAGGCCAAUCAAACCGGGAGAUAGCUGGUUCUCCCCGAAAGCUAUUUAGGUAGCGCCUCGUGAAUUCAUCUCCGGGGGUAGAGCACUGUUUCGGCAAGGGGGUCAUCCCGACUUACCAACCCGAUGCAAACUGCGAAUACCGGAGAAUGUUAUCACGGGAGGCACACGGCGGGUGCUAACGUCCGUCGUGAAGAGGGAAAC